UACGGAGGGUGCGAGCGUUGUCCGGAAUCACUGGGCGUAAAGGGUGCGUAGGCGGCGCGGUAAGUCGGGUGUGAAAUCUCGGAGCUUAACUCCGAAACUGCAUUCGAUACUGCCGUGCUUGAGGACUGGAGAGGAGACUGGAAUUUACGGUGUAGCGGUGAAAUGCGUAGAUAUCGUAAGGAAGACCAGUGGCGAAGGCGGGUCUCUGGACAGUUCCUGACGCUGAGGCACGAAGGUCAGGGGAGCAAACGGG
rnacentral:rRNA from 1 species